rnacentral:lncRNA from 1 species
AAGAAAAUAUAAAUAUUUAGAGACUUUUAAGAUGACUUUAUUAUUAACAAUAGUAUAUAGAUAUAUGCACUAAUUUUUUGAUAUAUUGAGCUUGACAUGUCUCAUUAGUAAAUUAUUAAUGGAGUGCAUACUUUAUCUCUAUAUCCUUGCACUAAAGAUAACUAAGUUAAAGCAAUAAUUUUUCGUAAGCAUACUUCUAUUAAGUUAUAACAUCUUCAUAAUAAUAAAUUAGUUUUGUCCUAAUAUUAUAACUAUAUAGAGGUUUCACUACAAUUAAGUCCUUUAAAAAAUUAAAUAAAUAAAUUAUUUUAAACGAAAUAUGUAUAUUUACGGAAUUAAAUAAUUGCAUAUGUUAGCUAGAUGGAUAAUUUUGGGUAAAUGUUCAUGUAGUCUCUAGAUUUGGGGUCAAUUACUUUGUAAUCUCUUGAAUUUUUUAAAAUUAAUUACCUAACUAUUAUUUUUCCCUUGUCGUUAUUUUCGUAAUUGUUGGAUCAAAGUUUUUCAAAUAUAAAUAGUGUUUAUAUUAGUAUAACCUAAAACUCAAGUAAAUUUGACAUGUACCAAGUGAAAAAUAAAGAAUAACUAAUAUAUAUACAAUGUAGACCUUUUGAGUGAUUUUUAUAUUAUUUAGACUAAUUGAAUAAUCGGCUCAAAUGAGAAGAAGCCAAGAAGCAUUUACACAUCAUGUUCUUUCUGAGUUAUUUCUGUUUGAGUAAAAAGUAGUUGAUUACUCUCUCUAUUAUUCUAUUCCAUACAUGCACCAAACAAAGGAAUCCAAUGUCAAAAUCUAUUCCGAUUCUUUUUCGUCAAUAUUUUUUUUUUUUAAAUACUAGUUGAAUAUUACCGGCCAAGAAUGUCAUUUUUGUAGGUAUUUUCAAUACACAUAAAAUGUGGGCACGAUCUAAUAAAGCGACUGUUUAUAACACCUAUCAACAACUUUGCUUUGAAAGUCUUUUAGUUGUCACUUUAUAUCAUCUUAAUUAGUUUAAAGUCUUAUAUAUUUCUCAAUAAACAACGAUCAAUAUUAUUAAAUGACGAUUCAUCUUUAGCUAGCGUUUUGUUAUGAUAGUCUUACAAGAAUUUCAACAAACGUGUGCACAUUUUUUGUACAUAUGGAAUGGGGAUGUCAUAGUUUCAUCUUUUUCUUUAAGCUUGUUUGUUUGUUUUAAAUUUGACACUAAGAUAAAGUUCACUCGACCACAUAUAUAUCAUUAGAGAGUCAAAUUAUUAGCACUCCUUCAAAAUCCUAUUAAAAUCCCUUUUUCAAUUAUAUUUCAUUUAAUGCCAAAAAUACCUUCUUCUUUUUUUUUCUUUUUUUUUUCUAAAUGAACACUCU